rnacentral:rRNA from 1 species
UACGGAGGGUGCGAGCGUUGUCCGGAAUCACUGGGCGUAAAGGGCGCGUAGGCGGCGCGGAUAGUCGGCGGUGAAAGCCCGGAGCUCAACUCCGGGUCGGCCGUCGAUACUUCCGGGCUUGAGCACUGUAGAGGCAGAUGGAAUUCCGGGUGUAGCGGUGGAAUGCGUAGAGAUCCGGAAGAACACCGGUGGCGAAGGCGGUCUGCUGGGUAAUGCUGACACUGAUGCGCGACAGCGUGGGGAGCAAACAGG